GCCUCUGUAGCUCAGUUGGUUAGAACUCGACAACUGGCCUCUGUAGCUCCGUUGGUUGGUGCACUGCACCGGAAUCGCAGGUUCAAUUCCUGCCAGAGGGC